CAAAGUACAAGUCUCUACUCCAGGAGCCAUUGCCAAGGAGAUGAUUAUUCAUUAACUCUGGUCCACCUGGUCGAUGAAGUUCCUCAGUGGUGCAGUGUGUCAGGGGAUGAGAAUGUCUUUGUUCUGGGGAGAGCUGCAGCACCACAACCACUUCAAAGAACCCCAGCAGCUGAAACAACUUGCAAGGAAAGACCCCUCUUGACCUUCUCAUCAUCGGGGCAAACACUGCAACAACAGCAGCUCCCUGUGAAAUGGUCUUCAGGUACAGUGAGAAAGGCUCUGCUGGUGGUGCCCUGUGCAGUCCUGGGGCAGGUGUGGGUCACAUGGAGGGUCUGAGGAGCACAGGGGAGCACAGAAAGAAAAAGAGUCAAAAAAGAAAGGCCAAGUCCACUCUUGCUUGGUAGAUGCUGUCCUGGGAUCUGUAACACCACUCUGUGGGUUGUUGGCUGCAGGAAGCUCCAGUGUUGUAUCACAAAAUUGAAGUCGAGGCCUUGAAGGCAUUUCCUGAACUGCUGACUCUAAAGGAAGUACAUGACUUGUUGUUUUUUUAAACAUCAAGAUUUUGCUCUUACAUCUUUCUCAUCCUCUAGGCACAAUAAGUUUAAUAUGAAACUUGACAGGAAACAUGAACUAUUGCCCA